UACAGAACUCUCUUUUAAAACCAAAGUGGCAUUAGACUAAUUUUAAAAUUCCCGCUAAAAGGAAAAAGGUAAAUCUGGCAACAGUGCCGUCGUUUGCUGGACAUUUAAAUCUCUCCCAGCACGCAACCGCGCUGUUGCCAGAUUUACAUCUUUUCUUUUAGCGGGAAUUUUAAAAUUUCUAAUGCGAAUUGGUUUAAAAUUUGACAUCCGAAUCUUAACCUUACUUUUGUGAUUAUUUAUUUACAAAUAUGUAAAUAAAUUGAAACAAGUAUUGUAUGUACUGUGUUAUAAUUUAAAACGCUUAAUUAUGUUAGUCUUACAAAAAUUAAGCUCAAAAAGAUAUACUUGUUUACAGUGCAAAUUAAUGGCAAUAGGGAUUUACGAUUUCAUUUGCAGGAAAAACAUGGGCAACCUACCCAGCUGGUAAAAUUUCAAUUCAAAAACUCUUUAGAUUUUACUGUGUGGAUGGCACAGGAAGAGAAACAAAAUAAUAUUCAGUACGGCAGUCACAGGAGUACAAAAACAUGAAGCAUCUCAUUAUGUAUGUAUGCCAUUCUCAAACAAUAAUUAUUGUACAAAACAAGAUAGAGACACAGCUUUAAAAUCCCAAGGAUCCUGCGAAAAGAAAAGUGAAAAUGGUGUCUCAAUUAAUGUAGUAUAGAUCAAUGAACUGUCAACACUGAUGGAAUGGCUCCGUCCCAUUCCAACAGUGAAGCGAGGUAGGCGCCAACAUACAAGAGAGAGGUUCUAGCACUUCUAGAGAGACAUGAGAGAGACAGAAAAUUGUCAGGUAAAAUUUGAUACAACUACAACGUACCUGACUAGCACGGUCCGAUUAUCUUCCCUCCUUUACCUGAUUAUCUUCUAUCUCAUCCUGGCGCCAUUAACUUCGUUUUAUGGCGAUUCCAUCAGUGUUGACAGUUCGUUGGUAUAGAUACACAUUUUUCUUCAUUUUAGUAGUAAAUAAUUAUAUAAUUAUUUAGAAUAUUAAUAUGUAUUAGUUUUAAUAGUAUUAAUAUGUAUUGUAUGAAUAAUUUCCAUCAUGUAUCUGCUGGCUAAAGCAACAAAAUAAAUAAAAAUGAAAAAACAUUUCAGUGA